AGGUAAGCUACUAAGAGCGAAUGGUGGAUGCCUUGACUGGUAAAGGCGAUGAAGGACGUACUAGACUGCGAUAAGCUACGGGGAGCUGUCAAGAAGCUUUGAUCCGUAGAUUUCCGAAUGGGGCAACCCAAUGUAUAGAGAUAUACAUUACCUAUAUAGGAGCGAACGAGGGGAAUUGAAACAUCUUAGUACCCUCAGGAAAAGAAAUCAAUAGAGAUUGCGUCAGUAGCGGCGAGCGAAAGCGCAAGAGGGCAAACCCAGUGCUUGCACUGGGGGUUGUAGGACUGCAAUGUGCAAGAGCUGAGUUUAGCAGAACAUUCUGGAAAGUAUAGCCAUAGAGGGUGAUAGUCCCGUAUGCGAAAAACAAAGCUUAGCUAGCAGUAUCCUGAGUAGGGCGGGACACGAGGAAUCCUGUCUGAAUCCGGGUCGACCACGAUCCAACCCUAAAUACUAAUACCAGAUCGAUAGUGCACAAGUACCGUGAGGGAAAGGUGAAAAGAACUGAGGUGAUCAGAGUGAAAUAGAACCUGAAACCAUUUGCUUACAAUCAUUCAGAGCACUAUGUAGCAAUACAGUGUGAUGGACUGCCUUUUGCAUAAUGAGCCUGCGAGUUGUGGUGUCUGGCAAGGUUAAGCAAACGCGAAGCCGUAGCGAAAGCGAGUCUGAAUAGGGCGCUUAGUCAGAUGCUGCAGACCCGAAACGAAGUGAUCUAUCCAUGAGCAAGUUGAAGCUAGUGUAAGAACUAGUGGAGGACUGAACCCAUAGGCGUUGAAAAGCCCCGGGAUGACUUGUGGAUAGGGGUGAAAGGCCAAUCAAACUUCGUGAUAGCUGGUUCUCUCCGAAAUAUAUUUAGGUAUAGCGUUGUGUCGUAAUAUAAGGGGGUAGAGCACUGAAUGGGCUAGGGCAUACACCAAUGUACCAAACCCUAUCAAACUCCGAAUACCUUAUAUGUAAUCACAGCAGUCAGGCGGCGAGUGAUAAAAUCCGUCGUCAAGAGGGAAACAACCCAGACUACCAGCUAAGGUCCCUAAAUCUUACUUAAGUGGAAAACGAUGUGAAGUUACUUAAACAACCAGGAGGUUGGCUUAGAAGCAGCCAUCCUUUAAAGAAAGCGUAAUAGCUCACUGGUCUAGUGAUUUUGCGCGGAAAAUAUAACGGGGCUAAAGUAAGUACCGAAGCUGUAGACUUGCACACAACUUAGAUUAUUUAAGUUUAGAAUAAGUAGUUUAAGUUGUGUGCAAGUGGUAGGAGAGCGUUCUAUUUGCGUCGAAGGUAUACCGGUAAGGAGUGCUGGAGCGAAUAGAAGUGAGCAUGCAGGCAUGAGUAGCGAUAAUUAAUGUGAGAAUCAUUAACGCCGUAAACCCAAGGUUUCCUACGCGAUGCUCGUCAUCGUAGGGUUAGUCGGGUCCUAAGUCGAGUCCGAAAGGGGUAGACGAUGGCAAAUUGGUUAAUAUUCCAAUACCAACAUUAGUGUGCGAUGGAAGGACGCUUAGGGCUAAGGGGGCUAGCGGAUGGAAGUGCUAGUCUAAGGUCGUAGGAGGUUAUACAGGCAAAUCCGUAUAACAAUACUCCGAGAACUGAAAGGCUUUUUGAAGUCUUCGGAUGGAUAGAAGAACCCCUGAUGCCGUCGAGCCAAGAAAAGUUUCUAAGUUUAGCUAAUGUUGCCCGUACCGUAAACCGACACAGGUGGGUGGGAUGAGUAUUCUAAGGCGCGUGGAAGAACUCUCUUUAAGGAACUCUGCAAAAUAGCACCGUAUCUUCGGUAUAAGGUGUGGUUAGCUUCGUACUAGGAUUUACUCCGAAAGCGAAGAAACUUACAACAAAGAGUCCCUCCCGACUGUUUACCAAAAACACAGCACUCUGCUAACUCGUAAGAGGAUGUAUAGGGUGUGACGCCUGCCCGGUGCUCGAAGGUUAAUUGAUGGGGUUAGCAUUAGCGAAGCUCUUGAUCGAAGCCCGAGUAAACGGCGGCCGUAACUAUAACGGUCCUAAGGUAGCGAAAUUCCUUGUCGGUUAAAUACCGACCUGCAUGAAUGGCGUAACGAGAUGGGAGCUGUCUCAAAGAGGGAUCCAGUGAAAUUGUAGUGGAGGUGAAAAUUCCUCCUACCCGCGGCAAGACGGAAAGACCCCGUGGACCUUUACUACAGCUUGACACUGCUACUUGGAUAAGAAUGUGCAGGAUAGG
rnacentral:rRNA from 1 species